rnacentral:rRNA from 1 species
GACGAACGCUGGCGGCGUGCCUAAUACAUGCAAGUUGAGCGCUGAAGGUUGGUACUUGUACCAACUGGAUGAGCAGCGAACGGGUGAGUAACGCGUGGGGAAUCUGCCUUUGAGCGGGGGACAACAUUUGGAAACGAAUGCUAAUACCGCAUAAAAACUUUAAACACAAGUUUUAAGUUUGAAAGAUGCAAUUGCAUCACUCAAAGAUGAUCCCGCGUUGUAUUAGCUAGUUGGUGAGGUAAAGGCUCACCAAGGCGAUGAUACAUAGCCGACCUGAGAGGGUGAUCGGCCACAUUGGGACUGAGACACGGCCCAAACUCCUACGGGAGGCAGCAGUAGGGAAUCUUCGGCAAUGGACGAAAGUCUGACCGAGCAACGCCGCGUGAGUGAAGAAGGUUUUCGGAUCGUAAAACUCUGUUGGUAGAGAAGAACGUUGGUGAGAGUGGAAAGCUCAUCAAGGGACGGUAACGACCCAGAAAGGGACGGCUAACUACGG